rnacentral:lncRNA from 1 species
AACAAAUACACUUUUUGGAAAAAAAUCUCGAAAAUACUCUUCAGAAAAAAUCAAAUUUAAUUUUUUUUGUAAAAAGCAGAAAUUGCUUAAUUUGGGAAGGGCUAUAGCCUCACCAGCCCACCUUUGACGUUCCCAUCUGCAUACGUUGAAUUUUGAGAACGUUACAUCACUACAUAAUGUAGAGUAUAUGGCCAUACCAUAGAAUAUGUCUACUACUGUGUUUUUGCACAUAUGGCAUUUGACAUUGGGCCGGAAAUAGUCAUUAAGGAGGAACGAAAAACAAAAAAAGGAAAAAGUUUAGAAUCCUGAAGAAGAAGAAGUUGAAAAUUAUUGUUAUGGAACACGUGCCACAAUAAAUUAAUUUAUUUUUUUUGGUGAGGGUAACCUAAAAACAUGGAAACAAGCAGAAGUAUGUAACAUACAUACACACUCUGAAAAACAGACAGGAAACCGUUAUCAGCCAUCCAUCUAUCUAUCCUUCCAUCCAGGCACUCAUUUGACAAUAUACCUAUCUACGAUAAAAAAUUAGUUGCAUACAUAAUUGCACCAUUCUAACGUAGAAGCCUUUACACGAAUCAAGUAAUGAACCCUUUUCUUCAAUCUCCUUACAAAUCCAUUUCCGAAUACAAAAAGCUUGUAGCCUGAAUAUCUGGAUUGAUGUCUAUUAUCUAUAAAAAUGAUAAUUUUAUUCCACUUUUUCAAAAAAAAGUCAAUUUUUUUAGGAACCAUUAAGACCUUUUGAUUGACCCAGUUUUACUAUGAGACCUAAUUCCUUGACCAAAUUAGUUCGGGAUUUAAAAAUUAUAACGGACUCAAUCCAGUCCAGGAUUUUCAGAUCGAAAUCCAAUACUAACAUUAAUUAUCUACCCAAAUCCUAAAAGUAAAUAUAGUUUUUCAAGUUAUGUUUAAAGGUUUUAGAGGGUGUAGGACUUUAAACCAUUGAAAAAAUAAGUUCAAUUUUACGCAAAUACAAUAAUUAAUUACUCAUAAUAAUUUAUUUUUUUUAACUGACAUUUAUUACAUCAUUUGAUGACCUUUUUUUAUAAGGAUAUUUUUUGAUGUUAAGACAUCUCUUUAAUGACUUAAAAAAAUAACUUCAUUAAUUUAAUUUCUGGCUUAUUCAAAAUAAUACAAUCAAACAGAAUGCCCAAUUAUUGUUUGAUUUGUCUAUAAUGUAAGGGUAAUUGCCACACCCCUCUUCUUCUCAACUGCCUCAGAAAGAUAUUAUCAAUAUGCCCAUUCUUAAAUAUGCAUAAAUAAAUACUAACAUCUGAUACCAGUUUGAAAAUAUCCAAAUUUUUCCAAUACCCUAUAUUCUCAAAAUCGGUAAUAUUUGUUAACAUAUUUUUUUUGUCAAAACAAGAAAUACAUUUUUAAUAU